UUUUCCGGUUGAUCCCGCCGGACCCUACUGCUAUCGGGGUGGGACUAAGACAUGCGAGUUGAGCGUCUCUAGCUAUGUUGAGACGCGGCAUACGGCUCAGUAACACGUGGCUAACCUACCCUCAGGACAGGGACAAACCCGGGAAACUGGGGCUAAUAUCAGAUAGGUGAGGAUGCCUGGAAUGGUUUCUCACCCAAAGGACUUUGGGAACAUGCUCCCAAGUCGCCUGGGGACGGGACCGCGUCCGAUCAGGUUGUUGGCGAGGUAACGGCUCACCAAGCCUAUAACCGGUACGGGCCGUGAGAGCGGUAGCCCGGAGAUGGGCACUGAGACAAGGGCCCAGGCCCUACGGGGCGCAGCAGUCGCGAAAACUCCGCAAUGCACGAAAGUGUGACGGGGCUACCCCGAGUGCCGUCCGCUGAGGAUGGCUUUUCCUCGGUGUAACUAGCCGGGGGAAUAAGGAGAGGGCAAGACUGGUGUCAGCCGCCGCGGUAAUACCAGCUCUCCGAGUGGUAGGGACGAUUAUUGGGCUUAAAGCGUUCGUAGCUGGCUUGGCAAGUCUCCUGUUAAAUUCAGCGACCUAAUCGUUGAGCCGCGGGAGAUACUACUAGGCUAGGAGGCGGGAGAGGUCGACGGUACUUUCGGGGUAGGGGUGAAAUCCUAUAAUCCCGGGAGGACCACCAGUGGCGAAGGCUGUCGACUAGAACGCGCUCGACGGUGAGGGACGAAAGCUGGGGGAGCGAACCGGAUUAGAUACCCGGGUAGUCCCAGCUGUAAACGAUGCGGGCUAGGUGUUGGGGUGGCUACGGGCCACUUCAGUGCCGCAGGGAAGCCAUUAAGCCCGCCGCCUGGGGAGUACGGCCGCAAGGCUGAAACUUAAAGGAAUUGGCGGGGGAGCACCACAAGGCGUGAAGCUUGCGGUUCAAUUGGAGUCAACGCCGGGAAUCACUAGU
rnacentral:rRNA from 1 species